ensembl:snRNA U6 U6 spliceosomal RNA
GUGCUCACUUUUGCAGCACAUAUACUAAAAUUGGAAUGAUACAGAGAAGAUUAGCAUGGGCCCUGAACAAGGAUGACAUGCAAAUUCAUGAAGUGUUUCUUAUUUUU